UACGUAGGGGGCUAGCGUUGUCCGGAAUCAUUGGGCGUAAAGAGCGUGUAGGCGGCCCGGUAAGUCCGCUGUGAAAGUCGGGGGCUCAACCCUCGAAUGCCGGUGGAUACUGUCGGGCUAGAGUGCGGAAGAGGCGAGUGGAAUUCCCGGUGUAGCGGUGAAAUGCGCAGAUAUCGGGAGGAACACCAGUGGCGAAGGCGACUUCCUGGCCUGUUCUUGACGCUGAGGCGCGAAAGCUAGGGUAGCAAACGGG
rnacentral:rRNA from 1 species